UAAUACAGAGGUGGCAAGCGUUGUUCGGAAUUACUGGGCGUAAAGGGCGCGUAGGCGGCCUUCUAAGUCAGACGUGAAAUCCCCAGGCUUAACUUGGGAACUGCGUCUGAUACUGGGAGGCUUGAGUGCGGGAGAGGGAUGUGGAAUUCCAGGUGUAGCGGUGAAAUGCGUAGAUAUCUGGAGGAACACCGGUGGCGAAGGCGGCAUCCUGGACCGACACUGACGCUGAGGCGCGAAAGCCAGGGGAGCAAACGGGAUUAGAUACCCCGGUAGUCCUGGCCCUAAACGAUGAGUGCUUGGUGUGGCGGGUAUCGAUCCCUGCCGUGCCGAAGCUAACGCAUUAAGCACUCCGCCUGGGGAGUACGGUCGCAAGGCU
rnacentral:rRNA from 1 species